rnacentral:lncRNA from 1 species
GGAAACGCCAACGCUCUGCUCACACAGCCCCACAGCUGCGCCCCUCACCCUGCAGCCAAAGGGCAGUGCGGGGCAGUGGGUGCUGCCGGGGCCAGAGAACACCCCGAGUGACAUCAGCUGACAUCACGGGGUGCAGUCCUCAGAUUGCGAGGAGCAGCGCUUGACAGGAGCAAAACAAAACCUCUUCUGAGAGCCUCUACAGCCCGGUUCCUUCGUGGGCACAGUGCACUGCAGAGCUCAGUGUCAUGCAGACACUGAACGGAGGAGCAAAAUCCAACAGCACGCAGCCGAGCUGACAGCCCCCACGUGUCCCUGCCCCUUCCCCAUCACCAGUCAUUCUUCUU